AUUGAACGCUGGCGGCAGGCCCAACACAUGCAAGUCGAACGGUAACAGGAAGAAGCUUGCUUCUUUGCUGACGAGUGGCGGACGGGUGAGUAAUGUCUGGGAAACUGCCUGAUGGAGGGGGAUAACUACUGGAAACGGUAGCUAAUACCGCAUAACGUCGCAAGACCAAAGAGGGGGACCUUCGGGCCUCUUGCCAUCGGAUGUGCCCAGAUGGGAUUAGCUAGUAGGUGGGGUAACGGCUCACCUAGGCGACGAUCCCUAGCUGGUCUGAGAGGAUGACCAGCCACACUGGAACUGAGACACGGUCCAGACUCCUACGGGAGGCAGCAGUGGGGAAUAUUGCACAAUGGGCGCAAGCCUGAUGCAGCCAUGCCGCGUGUAUGAAGAAGGCCUACGGGUUGUAAAGUACUUUCAGCGGGGAGGAAGGGAGUAAAGUUAAUACCUUUGCUCAUUGACGUUACCCGCAGAAGAAGCACCGGCUAACUCCGUG
rnacentral:rRNA from 1 species